rnacentral:tRNA from 1 species
GCCCGGGUAGCUCAGUUGAUAGAGCAGAGGACUGAAAAUCCUUGUGUCGUUGGUUUGAUUCCAGCCCUGGGCACCA